ACCCUAUAAAACUUUACCUUAAUCAUAAUUACGUCUUUAGAACCUGCCAAAUUUUGAAAAAGGUUUUACUGGGGCGGUAUCUUUUAUUAUAAACAAACUCUACGCUAACAUAAUGUAUGGAUUUGACAAACACCUAACGUAAAAAAUAACAAGUUACUUUAGGGAUAACAGCGCAAUAUUUUUUUAGAGCCCUCAUCGGCAAAAAUGUUUACGACCUCGAUGUUGAAUUGAAGAACCUGCACGGAGCAACCCUCGUGCGAGGAAGUCUGUUCGACUUU
rnacentral:rRNA from 1 species